rnacentral:lncRNA from 1 species
UUGGGCUCACCUUUGGCAGGGGAAGCACGAUGUGAGGUCUGGGGGGCUUUAAGGACCCCCCAAAACCACCCCAAAUCCACCCCAAAUCCCACAAAAACCACCUCAAAUCGAAACGUGAGGGGGGAAAAGGGCGGGAAACGUGAGGGGAGAAAAGGGCGGGAAACGUGAGGGGAAAAGGGAGGGAAACGUGAGGGGAGAAAAAGGAGGGAAAGGUGAGGGGGAAAAGGGAGGGAAAGGUGAGGGGAAAAGGGAGGGAAACGUGAGGGGAAACGUGAGGGGAGAAGGGAGGGAAAGGUGAGGGGAGAAAAGGGGGGAAGGUGAGGGGAAAAGGGAGGGAAAGGUGAGGGGGAAAAGGGAGGGAAAGGUGAGGGGAGAAAAGGGAGGGAAAAGUGAGGGGAGAAAAGGGCGGGAAAGGUGAGGGGGGAAAAGGGCGGGAAACGUGAGGGGGGAAAAGGGCGGGAAACGUGAGGGGAAAAGGGAGGGAAAGGUGAGGGAAGAAACAUGAGGGGAGAAACGUGAGGGGAGAGAACGUGAGGGGAGAAAAGGGUGGGAAAGGUGAGGGGAGAAAAGGGAGGGAAACGUGAGGGGGGAAAAGGGAGGGAAAGGUGAGGGGAGAAAUGGGCGGGAAACGUGAGGGGGGAAAAGGGAAGAAAAUAUGAGGGGAAAAAAGCCAGGAAACACAAGGAAAAAAGGGUGGGAAGCCUGAGGGUAAAAUCGGCAGAAAGCAUGAGAGGAGAAAAGGACGGGAAGGUCGGGAAAUGAGGGGGUAAAAAUGGGGGAAAUGUGCAUCCCAAUUCCUCAGGUGCCCCCUCCCCAAAACGAAGCGCGGACUCUGGAGGUUGCUCAGACACUUUUAUUUCUGGGGGGGCUCACGGGGCCUUCGCCGCCCGCACCCUCUUCUUCCUCACCACCACGGGCUUCUGGCUGCACAGGAUGGCGCUGGCCCGGCGCAGAGCGGCCUGGAGGGGACAAAAAUGGGGGCCAGCACCCCAAAAACAAGGGGUGAGCCCUGGGUGUGGAGUGGGCUCACAGCCUGAAUUAUCCCUCCGAGAUCAAGGAGUCGUUGGAGAUCUGGAACUCCAGAGAGUUCUGGCUCUGUUCUGCUGCCAUCGUGGCUCGGGACCUUCUCAGCUCCAGGAUCUUUUCCUGAGCUCCGGAAUCUCCUCAGCUCCGGGCUCUCCCUGGCUCCAGCCCCUUCUCCCCCCUCUCCGGGCUCUCUUCCCGGUGCUCUUGGCUCAGCCGGGCCCCUUUCCCUCCUCCCUGGGCUCCAGCAGCCCCUGAUUUCU